rnacentral:lncRNA from 1 species
AUACUUACCUGGAUGGGGUCAAUGGGUGAUCAUGAAGGCCCAUGGCCUAGAAAGGUGGCCUCCAUUGCACUUGGGAGGGGUGCUUUUCUAAGGUCUACUCAAGUGGUGGAGCCUACAUCAUAAUAAAGUUUAAAAUUAAUCUUUUUUUUUUUUUUGAGAGGAUUUGAAAUUAAUUAAAGAGUUGAUUUAUGCAGAAAGAGUUAGCUAAUUAGAUUAGACUAGUAUUUUUAUUUUUUUAAAUAUUCCACAAAAAUGUCCGUAAAAUACUCAUACACGUGAAGCUUGAUAAAAAUGAGUAAAAU